rnacentral:rRNA from 1 species
GCCCUUGCGGAUCCGCGGCCGCUGCAGAGUUUGAUCCUGGCUCAGAUUGAACGCUGGCGGCAUGCUUUACACAUGCAAGUCGAACGGUAACAGGCCUUCGGGUGCUGACGAGUGGCGAACGGGUGAGUAAUGCAUCGGAACGUACCCGGUCGUGGGGGAUAACGCAGCGAAAGCUGUGCUAAUACCGCAUACGAUCUGAGGAUGAAAGCGGGGGACCGAGCAGCAAUGUUUGGCCUCGCGCGAUCGGAGCGGCCGAUGUCGGAUUAGCUAGUUGGUGGGGUAAAGGCCUACCAAGGCGACGAUCCGUAGCUGGUCUGAGAGGACGACCAGCCACACUGGGACUGAGACACGGCCCAGACUCCUACGGGAGGCAGCAGUGGGGAAUUUUGGACAAUGGGCGCAAGCUGGAUCCAGCAAUGCCGCGUGCGGGAAGAAGGCCUUCGGGUUGUAAACCGCUUUUGGCAGGAACGAAACGGUGUCCGCUAAUACCGGGCGCUAAUGACGGUACCUGCAGAAUAAGCACCGGCUAACUACGUGCCAGCAGCCGCGGUAAUACGUAGGGUGCGAGCGUUAAUCGGAAUUACUGGGCGUAAAGCGUGCGCAGGCGGGUUGUGUAAGACAGGCGUGAAAUCCCUGGGCUCAACCUAGGAAUGGCGCUUGUGACUGCACGGCUGGAGUGCAGCAGACGGGGGAUGGAAUUCCGCGUGUAGCAGUGAAAUGCGUAGAUAUGCGGAGGGACACCGAUGGCGGAGGCAAUCCCUGGGCCUUCACUGACGCUCAUUCACGAAACGUGGGGAGCAACAA